UACGUAGGGGGCCAGCGUUGUUCGGAAUUACUGGGUGUAAAGGGUUCGUAGGCGGUGCGGCAAGUUGGGAGUGAAAUCUCUGGGCUCAACCCAGAGACGGCUUCCAAAACUGCUGUGCUUGAGUGUGUGAGAGGCUCGUGGAAUUGCAGGUGUAGCGGUGAAAUGCGCAGAUAUCAGGAGGAACACCGGUGGCGAAGGCGGGUCUCUGGGCCGAUAUUGACGCUGAGGAGCGAAAGCGUGGGGAGCGAACAGG
rnacentral:rRNA from 1 species